GAUGAACGCUAGCGGCAGGCCUAAUACAUGCAAGUCGAACGGGAUCCAGAUCAAAGCUUGCUUUGGUCUGGUGAGAGUGGCGCACGGGUGCGUAACGCGUGAGCAACCUACCCUUGUCAGGGGGAUAGCCCGGCGAAAGUCGGAUUAAUACCGCAUGACAUCAUUGAGAGGCAUCUCUCGAUGAUCAAAGAUUUAUCGGACAAGGAUGGGCUCGCGUGACAUUAGCUAGUUGGUAAGGUAACGGCUUACCAAGGCUGCGAUGUCUAGGGGCUCUGAGAGGAGAAUCCCCCACACUGGUACUGAGACACGGACCAGACUCCUACGGGAGGCAGCAGUAAGGAAUAUUGGUCAAUGGACGGAAGUCUGAACCAGCCAUGCCGCGUGCAGGAGGACGGCCCUAUGGGUUGUAAACUGCUUUUAUACGGGAACAAACGUCGGUACGUGUACCGGUCUGAGUGUACCGUAAGAAUAAGGAUCGGCUAACUCCGUG
rnacentral:rRNA from 1 species